CAAAUUUAGAUGGUGCAUCACAGUUUGCCAGCCCUGGCAGGGAGGUUGUAAGUGAAGGAACUUAAAAGCAGAGAGUUUUAUUACCAAAAAUAACUCUAAUAAUCUUCUUAUGGGUCAGGAAACCAAGGCCCUAAGUAAUUCACUUCCAUUUACAUAGUAAUUUGUGGCACAUGUAAUUAGCAAAGGGUUACACAGAAGACAUUUAGAAUUAUGGUUAAGAUGGUAUGUUGUUCCUAUUCCAACUUGCUUUUAUUGUAAAAUCUCUCCACUCUCACUUCUUUCCAGGAACCUUGAAGAAUCAUGUUCUUCCUAGGAAUUACAAAUCCCCCGAUUCCAUGUCUAACAUAAUUUCUACUGGCCUCUUUGCUUCUCAUGCUUUAGUACCAGUGCUUCUGAAUUUGAAAGUCUUCAUGCAAAUUGCCCAGGUUUGCUGGCAGCUGUGUCUCAGAAAAAGCUGUCUUCAGCAAGGCAGAAGCAGACCAGGGUGGUCCAGAGUUGGUGACUAUUAUGGCAUGGCUACCCAGGGCCAGAGAGGUGAGGUUUAAUGAGAAAGAAGAUAGAUGAAAAUGACUCCUCCUCCUGCUUUCACUGCUGCAGCAACUCAGGCCUGCAGACAAGAUCCAGCUCUAUUGCCCAAGCUGGAGUGCAGUGGUGAGAUAAUGAUUCACUGCAGCCUUGAUCUCCUGGGCUCAAGCAGUUCUCCUGCCUCAGCCUCCUGAGUAGCUGGGACCACAGGCACCCUCCACCAUGUCUGGCCAAAAUUUUUUGAAUUUUUUGUAGAGACCAGGUUUCACCAUGUUGCCCAGGCUGAUUUCAAAUUCCUGGGCUCAAGUGAUCUUCCUGCCUCAGCCUCUCAAAGUGCUGAGAUUACAAGUGUGAGCCACCACACCCAGCCAAAAUAUAAAUACGCCUUUAAUAGUAACACCUAAUUACCUAACACCAUCAAAAAUGGGGUGCUCCAUGAAGAAGCACAUAAUUCAAAUUAUUGAAGUUUAUCCCUUCUAAUGACCACAUAGAUUUCUCUUGCCCCAUUAAAAAAUUAGAUAAUCAGUAUUUCUAGGAUAGUUGUUUUCUUCCAACCAAUUAAGGCAUAAUCUAUGUAGCAGAACAUUCAGAGGAUGAUGCCUGGUCAACAUUUGAAUAAACAAUCACUGUGAUGUUACCUCUAUUUAAGAUGACUCCAAUAAAACUUCUAUGGUUUGCAUUAUUAGUUGAUCAGACUUUAAGCAUUAUCUUUUGAUAGGGUCAAGGAACCUGUCUUAACUCCCCAUCUCUGACCAAAAUAUACUUGUUUUCUAUAAGCUAUAAAGCCAGAUAGCCAAUUUUAUGAGAAUUGUCCCUAUACUAUAUCCAUGUGAGCGAUGAGUGCCUGGCAUGAAGAUGCAUAAAGGAGGCAGUAAUAUACAACAACUGAAGCAUAACCUCUGGAGCCAGUCUUCUUCAGACAAAUCCCAAUUCCAUUACUCACUGGCCACCUAAACAAGCUACUUAAUUCAUCUGCCUCAGUUUUCUUCAACUGUUUAAUGGGUAUGAUCAACAAACCAACUUCAGUGGGUUAUCAUAAAUAUUAAUAAAUGAGAGAAUGCAUGUGAAACAAAGCUAUAAGCAAUCAUUAGUAAUAAUAAUAAAAGAUGAUCAUUAUUUUUCAUGGAGUUUUUGCUAGUGCCAUGUACUGUUUUGUUAAUACUAAUUGCCUGAUUUUCUGUCCAUGAAUUUUUGGCUGAUCUAAGUUUCCACUUCCCUCACCCCUUGGCUGGGAUCUAGGUAUGAGAGUUGCUUGGCAAGCAAACUAGAGAUAAGUAAGGUGUUACUAUAUAAAGUUAAUGUAGGCACAUAUGAAUAUCCAAACAUGCCAUAAUGUUGGGGUUUGACCCUUUCCCUAAUACUCAGUUUCUUCAUUUGAAAUGUUCUAAUUGGUGUUUUUAUGUUGG
rnacentral:lncRNA from 1 species